UACGUAGGGAGCAAGCGUUGUCCGGAUUUAUUGGGCGUAAAGCGCGCGUAGGCGGUUUGAUAAGCCGGGUGUGAAACCUCCAAGCUCAACUUGGAGCGGCCACUCGGAACUGUCAUGACUUGAGUCAGGUAGGGGAACACGGAAUUCCAGGUGUAGCGGUGAAAUGCUUAGAUAUCUGGAGGAACACCAGUGGCGAAGGCGGUGUUCUGGGCCUGUACUGACGCUGAUGCGCGAAAGCGUGGGGAGCGAACAGG
rnacentral:rRNA from 1 species